GCGGGCAAAUAAAUAGGAUAUCUUGAUUGUUCCACUGAAAAUGAGAAAUUGAUUCUGUAAAGCUAGCUGUCCAUAUCUAUAUAGGUUGACAUUAUCUGGAAUAUGUUCUCUGCAUUAAAGACAAUACUGAAAGGCUAGUAGUAGUAGGAUGCGAAGAAUGAGGUCAUUCAACUGCCUAUAAAUAGCUAGUGAUAUGUGCACCAUAAUGAUAAAAGCAGCGGCAACAAGAAACAACAACAAGAAGAGAGCAAGCCUUACAUGGCUGCAAGGGCCUUACCUCUGAUAGCCAAGGAUGACUUGCCUAUGUCUUCAUCCAUGUUCAAUGCUUCAUUUGCCUUGGCGUGGGUUCUCAUGGGCAGUCACCUUGGCUAGCCUGAGUGGCUCUUGCUGCUCAUGCUAGGCUGAAUUUGCCUCUCUGUACACGUGAUGACUAGCCUUUUUUUUGCGGGGAGGUGACGACUAAUCAUGUGUGGAAAAAAGCAUGGAGUGGAAAGCUGUCAAAGGAGAGCCUGACCACAUGGAGGAAGUUGCAACAGCAUAUAUGUAUGUUCAUCCGGCAUCUAUAAUUAGGGUUAAGUUCACUGAUUCGAUGGAAAGCAACUCAAGCCUUAUUCGAUCGAAUUCUGCAAAUUAUUAUAUUGACCCA